rnacentral:rRNA from 1 species
ACACUCCUACGGGAGGCAGCAGUGGGGAAUAUUGCACAAUGGGCGCAAGCCUGAUGCAGCCAUGCCGCGUGUAUGAAGAAGGCCUUCGGGUUGUAAAGUACUUUCAGCGGGGAGGAAGGCGAUAAGGUUAAUAACCUUGUCGAUUGACGUUACCCGCAGAAGAAGCACCGGCUAACUCCGUGCCAGCAGCCGCGGUAAUACGGAGGGUGCAAGCGUUAAUCGGAAUUACUGGGCGUAAAGCGCACGCAGGCGGUCUGUCAAGUCGGAUGUGAAAUCCCCAGGCUCAACCUGGGAACUGCAUUCGAAACUGGCAGGCUAGAGUCUUGUAGAGGGGGGUAGAAUUCCAGGUGUAGCGGUGAAAUGCGUAGAGAUCUGGAGGAAUACCGGUGGCGAAGGCGGCCCCCUGGACAAAGACUGACGCUCAGGUGCGAAAGCGUGGGGAGCAAACAGGAUUAGAUACCCCUGUAGUCCCAUGA